GGGUCAGUAGAUUGGUCGUGCCACCGGUACGUACUGGUCUCACUGCUUCCUCCUUCCUGAAUAACCGUAAUGCCAUUAAUUUGGUGUUGCGGGGAAACAGGACUGUUACUUUGAAAAAAUUAGAGUGUUUAAAGCAAGCUAACGCUUGAAUACAUUAGCAUGGAAUAAUGAAAUAGGACGAUCGAUCCUAUUUUGUUGGUUUCUAGGAUUGACGUA
rnacentral:rRNA from 1 species